CCUACGGGAGGCAGCAGUAGGGAAUUUUCGGCAAUGGGGGGAACCCUGACCGAGCAACGCCGCGUGAAGGAAGAAGGCUUUCGGGUUGUAAACUUCUUUUGUCAGGGAAGAGUAGAAGACGGUACCUGACGAAUAAGCCACGGCUAACUACGUGCCAGCAGCCGCGGUAAUACGUAGGUGGCAAGCGUUGUCCGGAUUUACUGGGUGUAAAGGGCGUGUAGCCGGGUUGACAAGUCAGAUGUGAAAUCCUGCGGCUUAACCGCAGAACUGCAUUUGAAACUGUUGAUCUUGAGUACUGGAGAGGCAGACGGAAUUCCUAGUGUAGCGGUGAAAUGCGUAGAUAUUAGGAGGAACACUCGUGGCGAAGGCGGGUUCCUGGACAUUAACUGACGCUGAGGCACGAAGGCCAGGGGAGCGAAAGGGAUUAGAUACCCCAGUAGUC
rnacentral:rRNA from 1 species